GAUGAAGAACGCAGUGAAAUGCGAUAAGUAAUGUGAAUUGCAGAAUUCAGUGAAUCAUCGAGUCUUUGAACGCACAUUGCGCCCCCUGGUAUUCCGGGGGGCAUGCCUGUCCGAGCGUCAUUGCUGCCCUCAAGCACGGCUUGUGUGUUGGGCCCCCGUCCCCGGUUUCCCCCGGGGACGGGCCCGAAAGGCAGCGGCGGCACCGCGUCCGGUCCUCGAGCGUAUUGGGCUUUGUCACCCGCUCUGUAGGCCCGGCCGGCGCCAGCCGACACCCAACUUUAUUUCUAAGGUUGACCUCGGAUCAGGUAGGGAUACCCGCUGAACUUAAGCAUAUCAAUAAGCGGAGGA
rnacentral:misc_RNA from 1 species